rnacentral:rRNA from 1 species
GAUGAACGCUGGCGGCGUGCCUAAUACAUGCAAGUCGAGCGAAUGGAUUAAGAGCUUGCUCUUAUGAAGUUAGCGGCGGACGGGUGAGUAACACGUGGGUAACCUGCCCAUAAGACUGGGAUAACUCCGGGAAACCGGGGUUAAUACCGGAUAAUAUUUUGAACUGCAUGGUUCAAAAUUGAAAGGCGGCUUCGGCUGUCACUUAUGGAUGGACCCGCGUCGCAUUAGCUAGUUGGUGAGGUAACGGCUCACCAAGGCAACGAUGCGUAGCCGACCGUAGAGGGAGAGCGGGCACCCUGGGACUGAGAAACGGCCCAGACUCCUCAGGGAGGCAUCAGUAGGGAAUCUUCCGCAAUGGUCGAAAGUCUGACGGAGCAACGCCGCGUGAGUGAUGAAGGCUUUCGGGUCGUAAAACUCUGUUGUUAGGGAAGAACAAGUGCUAGUUGAAUAAGCUGACACCUUGACGGUACCUAACCAGAAAGCCACGGCUAACUACGUGCCAGCCGCCGCUGUAA